GGGGGCAAAUUUAUGUUAUGACACUAAGAACUCCAAUUUUUAAGGAUAGUCACAUGAAAAGAACAAAACAAUGAAACAAGUGAUAGAUAUUUGGCCUUGAUCACUAUGGAUUCGAAACUAUGGAUCAUCGGAUCUUUCUAGCUCCGACGGUGUAAUUGACCAAUCAUUUUACGAGGUUGUUUACGUCUUGUUUUUCCGCUAGGUUGUGUAUGCUGUACGAUUCUGUCUGGAUUAUGGUGACCUUUUUCUUGAAUAACUUUGCCAAUUUAACAUUUGAGCCAAAAAAAGUGUUACAAAUGGAUAUUAAUCAUUUCAGUUAUUGUUGAAAUGAAUGAAUUAGACAAACAGAGGAAUCGACAUGGGUAUUUUCUUGGUUCUACUGCGCACAAAGUCUACUGACAGUCUCGCCGAAGUUCAAGGCCUUACUCGGUAUUUCUGUACGUACUGAAUCAACGAUUCAGGGGAUCCGGAUAUAUUUAUAAACUGAUAGGAUUAUCUUUGUGUAAUAAUGUCUUGAUUACAAUCUUUUACAUUGGAAUAACCAUGAUGUGAAGUCAAACGAUCUCCAGUUUUACUGGAACAACAUGUCCUAGGCCUGCUGUUAUUUGGAAUAUGGCCGAUUGUGUGUUGAGUUCAUUGAUAAACAAUCCACUUGGAAUGUAUCGUGAUCAGCAGUGUGACGUUCCAUAGUAAAAUAUCUUUUACAUUUUAAUUAAACACUAAGACAAGGAAAUAACUAUACCUGUCAAUAAGUUCGUGUGAAAAUAUCUGUGAUAUCAUUCUAAAUAUGUGUAAGUUAACGUUGAAUGCUGCGUUAUGCAUUUCCUGUGUGGCGUUUCUCGCGGCAACAACUGGAUCUAAUGUAUACGGGCAAAUUGCGGAGACGGGCGUUGAAACUAAACAAGAAAUAAUUUGCGAAAGUAUUGACAUCAGGAAUUACGUGAAAAAUUUCAAGAAGAAGCUGGCAAAUUGUACAGUAAUUGAAGGAUUUCUUAAGAUUGUUCUGAUUGAGAAACCAAAGCAUGGACAAUACGAUCUACUUAGUUUUCCUGACCUUGUAGAAGUGACUCACUAUGUGCUGCUCUACCGAGUGUACGGACUACGCAGUUUGAGCCAGAUCUUCCCCAAUCUAGCGGUCAUACGAGGACAAGAUCUGUUCUACUUCUACUCACUGGUCAUCUAUGAAACUAUUGAUAUGGAGGACAUUGGAUUAAUUGGCUUGACCACCAUAGAACGAGGGGCAGUUCGGUUAGAGCUGAAUCCGAACUUGUGCUAUAUCGAUACCAUCGAUUGGACGAAAAUUGUUCCUUCCAUGCAACUAUCAGAUCAUUACUUCAAGGGAAAUAAGAAGAUUACGGAAUGUGUGAAUGUACCCCCGGAUAACUGUCCUGUGACCACUGUUGAUGGGAAACGUGAACCCCGUAGCUGGAAUUUACAUCACUGUCAAAAACUGCUAGACUGUCCCAGUGGAAGUAACUGCCCCAGUGGGACAUGCUUUGAAGGUAGAUGCUGUGACCCGAAAUGUUUGGGAGGAUGUUAUGGACCCAAGCCAUCACAGUGCAUUGCUUGCAGGAAUGUAAUUGACAGCACCCAAGGGUAUCCCCACUGUAUCGACCACUGCUCCCCAGGCACCUACAAGAUCCACAAUCGGCGCUGCCUCUUAGAUAAGGAGUGCAUGAGCAUGAGCAUGUAUUUGGUCCCAUUUACAAACACCACGGAGGCUGAAUGUGCCCCCUACUGUCCGGCUGGGAUGACUGUUAAUAACGUGUCCAAGUGUGAAAAGUGUCCGGGAAGGUGUCCAAAAGUUUGCCCACCCAUGAGAGUUGACAGUGUAGACGCCGCCCAGCAACUCAAAGGCUGUACCUACAUCAAGGGAGCUUUGGAAAUCCGCAUCAGUUCCGGCAGUAACAUUGCUGUUGAGCUUGAGGAGAGCCUGGGACAGAUUGAGGAAGUGAUGACCUACGUGUGGAUUCAUGCCUCCAACGCACUCCUGUCUCUCAACUUCUUCAGGAGCCUAAGGAGGAUCCGGGGCAUGACUCUCUACAAUGCCAAAUAUGCUCUGAUGGUGAACGACAACAGUAAUCUAGAAAACCUGUUUCCUGAAAAAACGAAAAAUAACCUGGAGAUUCUCAACGGCAGCAUGUUCUUCCAUUUCAAUCGUAAACUCUGCUACAACAAGAUUAUGGACCUCCUUAGCUCUGUGAAAAUGAAUUCAACAGCGGAAAAUGACAUCUCUAAAACGAACAACGGCGAUCAGAUGCCAUGUGUCUAUGAAAUACUCAACUUGACCAUAUUUCAAGUUGGACCCCGAGUGGCUUUCUUUAGGUGGGAAAACUUCAAAAUUGCCGACCAGCGAAACCUGCUCAGCUAUGUAAUUCACUACAAGGAAGCUCCUGUCCAGAAUGUUUCUACUUACGAUGGACGCCACGCCUGCAGUGAGGAUUUCUGGAAUACCAAGGAUGUCCUCCGCACCAAAGGUAUGAAUGAGACGUACCUUUACGAGAUUCUGUUAAAGCUGAAACCUUGGACACAGUAUGCCAUCUAUAUAGAAACCUACACCACUGCCCUCGCCAAGGUUGGCGCCAUUAGCAAGGUCAAAUACUUCAGAACAGCCGCUACAGCACCUACUAUUCCUCAAAAUCUACAAGUCAAAGCUAUCAAAUCAAACCAACUCUACCUGACUUGGAAUCCACCAGAAUCCCCUAACGGCAAUGUCACACAUUAUGAAGUUUACUGGCGUAAAGGCGAGCUAGAUCCCAAUAAAUAUGAUGUCAGAAACUACUGUGUUUCACCGGUACAACGUGCUGACCAGAAAGAGCAGAAAGAUAUUGAAAAAAACAAAAUUGAAGAUGAAAAGAAGAAGUAUCAGAAAAGUCCGGAUUGUUGUGAGUGUGCCAGUACAAGUCUCCAGAAGAAGGAAGAAGAACAGAGAGAAAGAGAAAUGCAGAUCAACUUUCAGAAUUUCUUACAAACUGCUAUAUACAUCAAGAGGGAAAUGCGAGGAAACUCUGACCGUAAACAAAAUAUUGAAACAUACCACCAGAUGAAUGGGAAAAAAAAUGGCAAUACCACCAAAACAUCUCGAGCGCGACGCUCACCAUUAUUUUUAGACACGUCAGUAGCCAAUGAGUCGUUAGGAAAUGAGACGGAGUACAACACUACAGAAGUGGGCGAGCCGGACUCGGCAGACAUUCCUGGUGAAGCAUCCAAUCCUUACUAUAGAGCAGUGGUGUACAAGAGAGAAUUCAUCAUCCCAAAUCUGAUGCACUACCGAGACUACAACAUUGAGGUGAUAGCAUGUCAGGAGCGAGACCCGCGGGACUCCAGGGGCAAAAACAGGUCAAAGGAAGAAGCAAAGCUGUGUAGUAGUAGGGCCUUAGCCCUUCAGCGAACUAAGACCUCCAGAGUGGCCGACAAUAUCAACACUUCCUCGAUCACUGUAAGUGUGAUGAAGAACAAAACAGGGGAGGUUAUUCUGAAAUGGGCACCCCCUCCCAAUCCUAACGGGAUCAUCAUUACAUACGAAAUCAAGUACAGCGACUCAAGCAUCAACAAUGUUCAACCUGUCACAGUAUGUAUAUCCCAGAAGAUGUACAAAUCUCUCGGGGGCCACAAGCUUGACCAUUUGGGAGCAGGCAACUACACGUUUAGGAUACGGGCUAACUCACUGGCUGGCAACGGGUCGUGGACUGAAGGCCGAUACUUUGUCAUAGAUUCCAACAAAGGAGAAGUGAUGGCCCAGGAGAUGAUCGUCGUGGUGUGUGUUGUGGUCGGUAUCCUUGUCGUGGUCAUUACUGGAAUCAUCGUUUGGUGUAUGGCUCGCAGGCGGUUCCGUGAAUACCCAGACAUCCAGAACAUAUCUGCCAAUCCAGAAUACAUGUCAAAUUAUGAUGCUUACAUAGCGGACGACUGGGAAGUGGAUCGGGACAAGGUCAAGCUCAUCCGUGAACUUGGUCAAGGGUCCUUUGGGAUGGUGUACGAGGGCCUUGCCAGUACUCUGAAGGAAGUGGACGGGGAGACGAAAGUGGCAGUAAAGACUGUGAACUCUAGUGCUACAUUUACUGAGCGAAUGAGUUUCUUAAAUGAAGCUUCCAUUAUGAAGACAUUUGUCUGCUCCCAUGUGGUACGUCUGCUCGGAGUUGUGUCUGCGGGGGUGGCUCAGGGAAAGCCAGCCUAUGUCAUCAUGGAACUUAUGAGCAACGGAGAUUUGAAAAACUUUCUUCGCAUGCAUCGGCCAGAUGAGGAGGAUAAUGCAGGUCGUUCCCCUCCGACUCUACACCGUAUCAUGCAGAUGGCGGGAGAAAUCGCUGAUGGAAUGGCUUAUCUCGCCGACAAAAAAUUUGUUCAUCGUGAUCUGGCUGCCAGAAAUUGUAUGGUGUCUGACAAUUUAACAGUAAAGAUUGGAGAUUUUGGAAUGACCAGAGACAUUUAUGAGACAGAUUAUUAUAGAAAAGGUGGGAAAGGGCUUUUACCUGUUAGGUGGAUGGCCCCGGAGUCAUUGAAGGAUGGUAUAUUUACCAGUAUGUCGGAUGUAUGGUCUUAUGGUGUGGUUAUAUGGGAAAUGACCACACUUGCUGCACAGCCAUAUCAAGGCCUCUCCAAUGAGGAGGUCCUCAAAUAUGUCAUCAAUGCAAAAACCAUGGACACACCGGAAGGCUGUCCAGAGAUUCUAUAUGAAAUGAUGUUACAAUGCUGGAAAUACCGACCGAAAUCACGGCCAACAUUCAAGGAAAUUAUAGAAAUACUAAUACCUGAACUUGAUCCACAAUUCAAGGAGUCUUCGUAUUUCUUUAACGAGGGGAAAGUGGAGAGUGCUGAUUAUGAUGAGGAGUAUGGAGAUGAUAUUGGGCAGGACGAUUCUCAUAUGCCCUUCAUUUCGGGUGAGGGAUCAAGAGGGAGUGGGGCGUGUUUAAAGCAUGAGGAUGACAUAGACUUUGUUGAUACGGACUACCGAUAUUCAAGUUACCCACAUAACCAUGUGGGGGCCUCCGAGCCAUGUGACUGUAUACUAUUACAAGAGACCAAGGGGGGAGGGAUAGGUGGGGUGCACAAUGACAACAACCACCAGUUCAAUGCGGGCUCCAACAGUGCAAUAGACUCGUCCAAUGACGGAAGCAAGGAGAGCAGCAAGAGCUCAAAUCAUAGUUAUAAUCCCAUUAACGGCAUCAACAUCCCGCCUAAUAUAGCCAAUGGACAUGUGCCUGUACACAUGCGGACAACCACAUCGUGCUAGUUCAGUGAGGAUUAUCGUGGGUCCAUUUUUACUCGUAGAAUACAUCAUCAUGCAGAACAACCUUCUCAAUAGUUACACAUGCAAACCUAAUUACACAAAACAACAUGCUGAUCAUCUUCCAACCAAAAAAUCUUCACAAAAAUUCAAAUGACAAACCACAUACAUAAUCAACUCAACAGAGGAUAUUGCAUACAUGUGGAACAAAACAUGUUAUCAUAUUCGGGAAAAUUGUACAUACAACACCUGGAAUCUUCUUUGAUGUUGUAUAUAAAGGAUCUCGUGGUUUUGCGAGAGUCCCAACCCUAAUACCUUCGCUGUGUGUUAUGUGUCGACUGAUCUCUGCCGCCAUUCAAGUCCAAAGGGAAAUCUUUAAGUGUCUGUGCAUGUUAGUUGGUGACCGUGUGAUCUUAUUGUUGUUGGAUGUGAAAGCUCCACCCGCCUACCCUGCCAUCCCCAACACAUUUGUUACUAAAUUUUCACUGGAGAGUGAAUUCAAGAGAGAUAACCUUGUCAUUCAUAGUUUUCACUAUUAAUAUUAGGAAAUAAUGAUAUAACAUUUUUAUGUACAUGGUACCUCCUGUUUUACAAGUUUUAGUUUGAACAUCAAAAUCAUGAUUUGGUUUUUUAAAGCACACAUGUUUUACCUAUGUUUUAUGAAUUAUUUUUUUUGCAUAUGUGGUCACAUUGUACGUAAGAAUAUAGUACAUAUUAUAAAAUAUAAAUGUUUGUGACAACUUUACAGCAAAGAAAAGAAGCUGAGGAAUAGUUGGAUUGUUGCCAGACCUCUAAUCACAUGGGAGCUUGCCACUUAGUAUACUGCAACAAAGCCUAUCUUGCACCAUCUGUCCUGAUUUGUACUAUUAAAACCUAAUGUUACAGGAAGCUGCUAAAUACAGGUAUGAUAAUAUUUAUAUCACCAUCUACGGGCAUAUUGAUACGGGCAAAAACGUUUUUGAAAGCUCUAAAAUAUUUUGCUGAAUAGCAUAGGUCAAGAUUUUAUCCGUUCUUGACUGUUUUAAAAUUUUAUCUGUUGAAACUUGUGAAUUUACCUGUCAGUGUCUCAGGGUGGCAAAUAUAUUUUAGAGAUUAAAGUUAUUAAAAACUGUUUUUAGCCGAAGCAAAUCGGUGUGAUUUGCCAAAGAUAGUUGUGCAAUCAAGUCAUAGAGUACAUUUAAACUUCUGUUCUCAAUUAUGUACAUCAUCAAAUAACCAGAUAAGAUAGGACGCAAGUUAGAUACAGUUUUCAAGAGGAUAUAAAACUUACUACCAGUAUUUUAUCAUAAAACUUCCAAUGCUUUUCGAGACAUUUCACAAUACUGAAUAAAUUAAAUGACAAUAAUAAUCAAAAUAUAAACGGCCUUCUCAAUGAAUGAACACAGUUCCGGUAUUCUAAUUUUUAUCAUGCUGAAAGUAAAAAAAAAAAAGUAGGGGAAAUCAUUCUGAAAAAUCGAUAUUCUUUAAGUGUUAUUGAUGUGCAUUAUUUGACAGAACUGUAAAAGUACCUGUGUCAUAUAAAACCUUGUCAUAUUUGUAUAAAAUCUUAUAUUACUGUUUUACUUAUUAAUUAUCUAAAGCUUUUCUAACCAUUUGACUAUAUAAAGCUUGUCUUACUGUUUGCCUAUAAAAGCUUGUUUUACUGUAAAAAGCUUGGCUUACUGUUAGUAAAAAAGCUCAUCUUACUGUAAAAAGCUUGUCUUACUGUUUGUAAAAAGGCUUGUCUUCCUGUUUGACUAUAAAAGCUUGUAAUGUUUGACUGAAAAAGCUCAUCUUACCAUAAAAAGCUUGUCUUACUGUUUCUAUAAAAAGCUUAUUUUCUGUAAAAAGCUUGUCUUACUGUUGGUAAAAAAGCUUGUUUUACUGCAAAAAUGCUUACCUUACUCUUCGUAUAAAAGGCUUGUCUUACUGUUCAAUUUUUAAAGCUUGUUUUACUGUAAAAAGCUUCCCUUACUGUUCAUAUAAAAAGCUUGUCUUACUGUUUGACUUUAAAAGCUUGUUUUACUGUAAAAAGCUUAUCUUCCUGUUCGUAUAAAAAGCUCAUCUCACAGUAAAAAGCUUGUCUUACUGUUUGUGUAAAAAGCUCACUCUACUGUGAAAGGCUUGUCUGACUGUUUUUAUGGAAGCUGAUCUUACUGUUUGACUAUAAAGCUUGUAUUACUGUAAAACGCUUUGAUAGCUGUUUCUAUAAAAAGCUUGUUUUAGUGUUUGACUGUAUAAAAGCUUGGCAUGCUAUUUUAAGAAACUUAAACCCUUUUGAAAACUAUUUGACUAAGAUCAAUGAUUUAAAUACAGGAGGAUAGUAACAUGUGAAAUGCAGUGUUUCCCUUUAUAGUAUAUAAACAAUUGUUGAUAUGAUAUUGUAGUAUGCUCAGCCUCCCUCAUGUGAACUUGGUACAUUCAUUAGUAGUCAAUAAGAGCUGUGUCUAUGUAUUGUUAUUUUCAUUACACAUUAGGUUGAAGUUUACAUCCCUAGAAAGGUGGUGUGUUUGUUUAAAUACUGUUUAUAUCACUUAUUUUAAUGGUUACCAUAUUGUAGCAUUUUCCCACUAAUUUGAGAGCACCAAAUUAAGAUAUUAACUGCUGAAUAUAUAAUAACUGGAGUCUUGCAUAUUAUAAGUAACAUGAGGGCUAUAUUAGGAUGUGUUAAACUCGUAUGAGGACGUAUGAGUGUCGAGGACAUUUAUAGUAUAGAGUACAUGGUUUCAGAAUUGGUUUAUCGGGUGGAAUAUUAAUGAUGUACUCACCAGGAGUAGUUAAUUAAGUAUCAGUCAUGUGUAUGUAGGAUGCUUGAUAAAAAAAAUAGGAAAAGGGCAUAUUGGCUUACUUAUAAGGUUUUAUUUAGCAAUUUUUAGCUCUUUCAAUGCCACUUUUCAGACAACAUGUGUAAAAAGAAGAAAAAAACUCUCUGGUCUGUAAAGUAAAAUAUAGUAUCAAUAAAAAAGUUGAAUGUUUCCCCGCUUUCAUGCUGAAAAGAAAAUCAAGUACAGAAUCUUUGUUAUUGAAUGCUUGAAAUAUCUGAUUCAGCUCCAGGACAUCGGGUUACAUGAUUAUAACUCGUUAGUCCUAAUAUCUGAUUAAGCUCCAGGACAUCAGGUUACAUAUUUAUAACUAGUUAGUCCUAAUAUCUGAUUCAGUUCCCGGACAUCAGGUUACAUUAUUAUAACUCGUUAGUUCUAAUAUCUGAUUCAGCUCCGGGACAUCAGGUUACAUUAUUAUAACUAGUUAGUCCUAAUAUCUGAUUCAGGUCCAGGACAUCGGGUUACAUUAUUAUAACUAGUUAGUCCUAAUAUCUGAUUCAGCUUCAGGACAUCAGGUUACAUUAUUAUACCUCGUUAGUCCUAAUAUCUGAUUCACCUCCAGGACAUUGGGUUACAUUAUUAUAACUCGUUAGUCCUAAUAUCUGAUUCAGCUCCGGGACAUCAGGUUACAUUAUUAUAACUAGUUAGUCCUAAUAUCUGAUUCAGCUCCAGGACAUUGGGUUACAUUAUUAUAACUCGUUAGUCCUAAUAUCUGAUUCAGCUCCAGGACAUCAGGUUACAUAUUUAUAACUAGUUAGUCCUAAUAUCUGAUUCAGCUCCAGGACAUCGGGUUACAUUAUUAUAACUCGUUAGUCCUAAUAGCCAGACAGCAAUGUCCAGCCAAUGACAAUGACUUACAAAUUAACAAUCAAUCUGCACCGAUGACCAAUGCAAUGCACCUUUUAAUAAAAAAAAAAAUGGAUUAAAUUUUUGUAGUACAUACUUAACCAAUGUGUAAGCCAAAAUAUCUGAUAAUCUUGUUUGUAGCAGAAACAUAAAUUGAGAUAGACACAUUUUUGAUAUAAAAAAAAAUGACAAUAAAUGAUCUUCCUUCCUCGAUAAAAAUUAAACUUGAUUGCACAAAGCAAUGCAAAUCAUCUUUUCAUGACUCAUAAUUCAAUAUUGUAGUUAUCACACGGUGUAUGUUCCAUCUACUGACUGCAGGUUGGUGAUAUUCAUUGUCAUUUAGCCUUCACCAAGACUACAUUAUUUAUGUGUGGGAGAUGUCCAGUAGUUGAUGAGAUUAUUGUAUGAUAGGGUUGGUGAGGGUGCUUUUUCAGUUACAUAUAUAGAUAACAGAAAUGCAAUUGAUUGGACAGAUGGAAUUAUCAAACAAUAUUUAUUGCUUGUGAUGAAUUAAAUGACCGGUAGAUUCAAAUUACAAAUGAUGUCAACACUUUCAUUGGUUUCUUCUAUCACUUUAAGAUAAUGACACAUUGACAUCUUGAAUUAAACUGAACACCAAAAUGUUAAAACCUACACUCUGACAAACUAAAUAAAAAAAAAAGGUGUAAGGGAGAUAAUUUGAUAUAUGUAUGAUGCUGGUUCAAAUUUUCUGUCUUUAAUUAUCUGUUUAACUCUGAGCUUCACAUUCCCUGUUGAAGGUGUGGAUGGUUUGUGAUGUAUCCAGUUCGAAGAAAACAUUGUGGCAUGAAUGAUGUGUGUUUGGAAAAGACCGAUUCGAGGAACUUCCUGACUUUAAAAUUGCAUAAAACAGGUUCCGUUUCAUAGGUAAAAAUUUGUCGGACCAAUUUUUGCAGAAAUCAAGACGGAAAAUAUCCACAUUAAAAUAGAAAAUAAUGAAAUAUGAUAAAAAUCAUGUUAAAAAAAUAUGUUGAAAUUCAUUCAAAAUAUGUAGGUUUCAAAAUAAUAUAUAUGUACAAAUUUAAUCUACUACCUGAUCAGAAAACUACCUCAGAUGGAUCUGAUAUCAAAUGACUGAAAUCUUGACUUACUAUGGGCAUAAACAAAUCUUUAUUUAAAAUAAUAUAAAUAAGCAAUAUUAAUUAAUAUUAAUUAUUUAAUAUUAUGAAAAUAU
rnacentral:misc_RNA from 1 species